rnacentral:rRNA from 1 species
GACGUAGGGCGCGAGCGUUGUCCGGAUUUAUUGGGCGUAAAGAGCUCGUAGGCGGCUUGUUGCGUCAGCUGUGAAAACCCGCAGCUCAACUGUGGGCUUGCAGCUGAUACGGGCAGGCUUGAGUUCGGUAGGGGAGACUGGAAUUCCCGGUGUAGCGGUGAAAUGCGCAGAUAUCGGGAGGAACACCGGUGGCGAAGGCGGUUCUCUGGGCCUUACCUGACGCUGAGGAGCGAAAGCGUGGGGAGCGAACAGG